GGUCGCGUAGCUCAGCUGGAUAGAGCAUCUGCCUUCUAAGCAAACGGUCCCAGGUUCGAAUCCUGGCGCGAUCA
rnacentral:tRNA from 1 species